GCUUAACGCGAAGAACCUUACCUGGGCUAGAAAGCGCAAGAACCUCGGUGAAAACUGAGGGUGCCCUUCGGGGAACUUGUGAUUAGGUGCUGCAUGGCUGUCGUCAGCUCGUGUCGUGAGAUGUUGGGUUAAGUCCCGCAACGAGCGCAACCCUUGCUGUUAGUUGCCAUCAUUAAGUUGGGCACUCUAAAGAGACUGCCGCGAAUAACGCGGAGGAAGGUGGGGACGACGUCAAGUCAUCAUGGCCCUUACGUCCUGGGCUACACACGUGCUACAAUGGGCGUCACAGAGGGUCGCAGGAGCGCAAGCUGGAGCCAAUCCCCAAAAACGUCCUCAGUUCAGAUCGAGGUCUGCAACCCGACCUCGUGAAGGUGGAAUCGCUAGUAAUCGCGGAUCAGAACGCCGCGGUGAAUACGUUCCCGGGUCUUGUACACACCG
rnacentral:rRNA from 1 species